GCUGGGCAUGGUGGCACAUGCCUGUAAUCCCAGCUACUCAGGAGGCUGAAGUAAGAGGAUCACAAAUUUGAGGCUAGCCUCAACAAUUUAGAGAGACCCUGUCUCAA
rnacentral:sRNA from 1 species